UACGAAGGGGGCUAGCGUUGUUCGGAAUUACUGGGCGUAAAGCGCGCGCAGGCGGCUAUCCAAGUCAGUGGUGAAAGCCCGGAGCUCAACUCCGGAACUGCCAUUGAAACUGUUUAGCUUGAGGACGAGGGAGGUGAGUGGAAUUCCCAGUGUAGAGGUGAAAUUCGUAGAUAUUGGGAAGAACACCGGUGGCGAAGGCAGCUCGCUGGAACGGUACUGACGCUGAGGCGCGAAAGCGUGGGGAGCGAACAGG
rnacentral:rRNA from 1 species